AUACGGAGGAUCCGAGCGUUAUCCGGAUUUAUUGGGUUUAAAGGGUGCGCAGGCGGCCAUUUAAGUCAGCGGUUAAAUCGUGGGGCUCAACCCCAUUCUGCCGUUGAUACUGGGUGGCUUGAUUGCGGUCGAGGUUGGCGGAAUUCGUUGUGUAGCGGUGAAAUGCAUAGAUAUGACGAAGAACACCGAUUGCGUAGGCAGCUGACCAGAUCGCAAAAGACGCUCAUGCACGAAAGUGCGGGGAUCGAACAGGAUUAGAUACCCUGGUAGUCCGCACAGUAAACGAUGAAUACUUGUUUUCGGCGAUAUAAUGUCGGAGGCAAAGCGAAAGCGAUAAGUAUUCCACCUGGGGAGUACGCCGGCAACGGUGAAACUCAAAUGAAUUGACGGGG
rnacentral:rRNA from 1 species